CCUUAAAUUUUUAAUGAAAGUUAAAGUGGUGCAACAAUGGCUGAACAGUGAGGCACUAAAGUCAGUGGAGAAACGAUGUAAAGGUGAAAUGGUGAACAUCUAAUUAGCUAAUUGAAUUGGAAAUGAUAAAACUCACAAUUAAUGCACUUGGGCUAGAAAUGCAAUUCUUAAUAAUAAUGAUGACACAAUAAUAAAAUACACACAUUUAUCUAAGCUUGACAAUUAGGAUAGGUCAAGUUACCCAAUUUUGUGAAAUGAGUAGAUAAGAAUUUGCCCUAUCAUAAUACUAUAAUUUAUCGUUUUAUCUAUCUAUCUAUUUGUUACUUAAUCAUGCAAAACCUGUCAACAUCUAACUUUGCGGAAUUGCUUCGGAGAAUGAACAACUUUAUUUGGCAUCUGUUCACUGUUCAAGAACUAUCCUAUAUGAAAAGGCAAAACCAGCAUGAACCCAAGAUAAAGGAAGACAAUAUCUGCAUUUUUCCUGAUAGAGGAAAAGCAGCUUUUGAAUCAGUGGCAAUGCAGCAGCAGCUGCAAGAGAAGCUUUGGAACAUUCAGAAUCUGAACCACGUGAUUCUGAUGAUCAUAAUAGUCAAAGCCUCCAACAAAGAAAUAUGUUGGACGGACAUGAAAACCUUGUGAAACUCGAGAAGAAUUCAACAAGGAUGCAAAUGAGAUGAAGAAGCCAACAGAUAUCUUAAGUUGCAAUUCAGCUGAUGAUGUUUUGAAGGGGCUGCUAUCUCAGUGGAGCUUAAAUUAAGGCUAAUGUUUUUGAAAAGGAGAUAGAAAUCAUUCUUCUACACUGAUACCUUCAAGGUAUGUUGCUGGUAUAGAGGUUGGAAUCAGGUUCUUGGUGACUAGAUUUGAAUACAAAGAGGUUUGAUUAGGUUGAUAUUUGACCAUUUGCAGAAACGAGGACAGAGGAAACAUGAAAACGUGAGAGUUCUACUUGAAUUUUUGUCUUCAGUGGGAUAUAGAACAUUAACAUUAGAUGAAAUCAAUCAAUAGUUAACUAUCUCAAGUUUAGAAUUGUCAGUUUAGACCAGAAUAUUAGCAUACAGGGCAAAUCAUUACUAAGUUUCUUAAAGGUGAGAUACGAGAGGUUCCUACCAUAGAAAAUGAACUUUUAGAGCUUAUUGCUUAUAUAUUUGUAUAUUGGACCUGAUUUAUGUGAAAGUGAAACUAUCAACACUUAUCAGUAGAUAUGAUGUUUGAAAAUUGAGAUAAAGAUUUGUUCCUGAAACAUGAAUACACAAGGAUAGCAUGCUAUGCAAUGUGACCAAUGUCAGCACCCAGAGAGAUAUAGACAAUAAUAUUGAACUGAGACCAUGCUCUGGUGAAAUAGGCUUGUAACAGAAAGUAGACUAAAAUCCAAAAAUCUGUCGAAUUUGUAAAGACUUACAUUACAUUGGCUAUGUAAUUUGCAUUAGUCUUUAGUAAGGUAAGAAACUGCUAAUAAUCUAUAUACCUAAUACCUGUGUUAUUGAUUAGUAAGAACAGAUUUCAGAGUUUCGAUAAAUA